AUUGAACGCUGGCGGCAGGCCUAACACAUGCAAGUCGAACGAGUGGCGGACGGGUGAGUAAUGUCUGGGAAACUGCCUGAUGGAGGGGGAUAACUACUGGAAACGGUAGCUAAUACCGCAUACCAUCGGAUGUGCCCAGAUGGGAUUAGCUAGUAGGUGGGGUAAAGGCUCACCUAGGCGACGAGCCCUAGCUGGUCUGAGAGGAUGACCAGCCACACUUGAAAUGAGAUACGGUCCAGACUGCUAGGGGAGGCAGCAGUGGGUAAUAUUGCACAAUUGGCGCAAGCCGGAUACAGCCAUGCCGCGUGUAUUAAGAAGGCCUUCGGGUUGUAAAGUACUUUCAGCGGGGAGGCGUUAACCGCAGAAGAAGCACCGGCUAACUCCGGGCCAGCAGCCGCGGUAAGAC
rnacentral:rRNA from 1 species